CAUGUAGGCGGAUUGAUAAGUUUGAAGUGAAAUCCUAUAGCUUAACUAUAGAACUGCUUUGAAAACUGUUAAUCUAGAAUGUGGGAGAGGUAGAUGGAAUUUCUGGUGUAGGGGUAAAAUCCGUAGAGAUCAGAAGGAAUAUCGAUUGCGAAGGCGAUCUACUGGAACAUUAUUGACGCUGAGAUGCGAAAGCGUGGGGAAGCAAACA
rnacentral:rRNA from 1 species